rnacentral:rRNA from 1 species
UACAGAGGGUGCGAGCGUUAAUCGGAAUUACUGGGCGUAAAGCGCGCGUAGACGGCUUUGUAAGUCGGAUGUGAAAUCCCCGGGCUCAACCUGGGAACUGCAUUCGAAACUGCACUGCUAGAGUAUGGAAGAGGGAAGUGGAAUUUCCGGUGUAGCGGUGAAAUGCGUAGAUAUCGGAAGGAACACCAGUGGCGAAAGCGGCUUCCUGGUCCAGUACCGACGUUCAGGCACGAAAGCGUGGGGAGCAAACAGG